rnacentral:rRNA from 1 species
AUGGCGUGCUGGAGUCCUGGGCGGCCAGCAGGAACUUUGGUCUCAACAUUGAGGCCCUCCGCACGGAACUGCUGCAGGUGCAGGCCAUGCUCGAACGAGCUGCCACCAAGGAGCUCGUCGGACCGGCCACGGAGAAGCUGUUGCAGAAUCUGCAGGACUCGGCCCACAAUGCCGAGGACUUGCUGGACGAGCUGCACUACUUUCGCAUCCACGACAAGCUCCACAACAUGUACGAGGCUGCUGACGAGCACGGCAAGGAUUGCGUUUGCGACCUCGCCCUCAAUGCUCGCCACACCACCAAAGCUCUUGGCAAAUAGCUGGCAUCUUUGUGUGCGUAUUGCUUUGGUGCCAACCGCUGGCCAUCCCCGACAAGAAGAUGCAAGACAAAAUGUCAGCUGUUGUGCUUGGCAGCGUGGUAGGCAGAGGUCAAAAAUGUCAGCUGGCCAUUCCUCCUUAGCACCAAAAGCAAAUCAAAUUGAUCAGGAGGUCAGCGGAUGCAUGCCCAAGCUUGGUAAACUCUUCGAAGGCACAUCUUCCCUGCAUUCACAUGUUAGUGGUGAUGAAGACCGUGGUAAUGUGCAAGAAAUACCAAUUCCUGAGUUUAAUAGGGUUGAGUUCUCUCGAAAGAUCAAGGACACUCUAGAGCAACUGAAGCGUAUAAGCGAGGAUGUUGACAAGAUUCUGAAACAUUGUGGCCCAAGAACUGUCCUAGACGUUGCACACCGCCGUCCCACCACCACACCUCAGAGUGCAGAGCCAAAACUGUAUGGGAGGGCCCUUAUCAUGAAUAAUAUCAUACAUGAUAUCACCAAGGGUCAAUACCGUGACAAGGGUCUAACUGUGCUUCCGGUUAUUGGUCCGGGGGGAAUGGGGAAGACAACUCUGAUACAGCACAUAUAUAACAACGAACAAGUGCAGAAUCAUUUUCCAGUCAGGAUUUGGAUAUGUGUGUCGUUCAAUUUCAACCUGGGUAAGGUGCUAGAAUAG